AUGAGGAUGAGGUUGAAGAUGGGCACGGGGACAAGGAUGGGGAUGGGGAUAUGGAUGGGGACAGGGACAGGCUAUGCUCACCCACACCAUGUGCUGGGAAAGGAGGUGCUUGUGGGGACUGAUCCCUGUAAUUGCUUCCAUGUGCCUCAGCAGAGCCUUUGGCUGGGGGUGGGGGGGUUAGCCCUUCUCAUAGCUUGGGCAUGAAAAAAAAAAAAAAAAAAUCAAUAGGCAUUUACUUGGCAGCAUUUUGUGCAGAAACAGAUGUGCUGAAGUUGGAGGAGGUGGAGGAUGCUCUGCGGGACGGGGCUGGGGACGGAUCCAGCCAGACCCAGAAGCCCCCACCGCCACAGACGCUCGCUAAACCGGGCAAACCAGGACAAACCUCUGGCUGCCCAGCAAACCUCCCCAUCGCGCUCCUGCCAGAUGUGGCUGCCGGGGUGGGCCGGCAACCCCCUGCCCUGCUGAAGGCUCGCCUUCGCCCUGGGCUCCCAGCGAGGAGGAGGAAGGGCAGGAGAAUCCUUGGCGCGGAGGCCGUUUCGGGCAGGAAAUCCCGGCAGCCUCUUCCCCGAGGCCUGGCAGCCGGGAUCGCUGAGCUGCUGCGGCCGGCGGAGAUAAGGGAAGCAGCAGGAAACUUGGAUCUCUCCUGGGGCAGCCGGGAAAGGAAACUUGAUUCCCGGUGACCGGAGCGGGGCUGGGGGCUGCAACAGAAAGCAAGCGCUCGCAGGAUGCACCGGGGCCGUUCGGUGCUUUGGGAUGUCAGAGAGGAAUAGGGAUGGCGUGGGGCUACGGUAAGAGCGGGGCUUCGGCCGGCUCCGGCGUGGGCUCGGUCGGCGGUGUCCUGUUGCCAGCUGGGUUAGUGGGUCACCGUAACGAUGCCCUCGGAGCGUUUCUCCUUCUGGUUAUCGGAAACCAGUCCUGCUCGAGGUCGAGCUAUUUGGCAGGAAGGGCAACAAACUAGUGCCUUAAACAUCCUGCUGGUUGUGGUAGGAAAGGGCUCUUGCAGGGAAGGGGUUGUGCACAUCUCAGCUCCCUGAAUCAGCACGCACAAGUUUUGUGGCCUCGAGUCCUAAGAAAAAGAGAUGUCUGUGGCCCCCCCCCCCCCCCCCCAUCCUUAAUACCUGGAAUCUGCUGGAUAAUUUCAGCCAAAUCUGACAGUAGCAUCUCUGAGGGUCUGUAAAACCAGAGAGAAGGAAGAGAGACCCUGUUAGCUGCCCGCUUGCCUAAGGUGGGCACAGCUUCGGGUUUGAGCUCAACACUUACAAGCCAUCUGAGAAUCCACAACGGCUGCAUGGCUGGGGUAAGCCCAGCUUACCGGCGGCAGGAACAACCUCUGCGGUGUGUCAGGGGCAAAGGGGGAAUCGCUGGGUGGCCGUGGCCCUCCCGUGGGGCCGUGUCGAGGUAUCUCUCUGGCUGGCUCCAUCCAUGGGACCGUAGCUCCUGCCUGGGCUCGCUGCCUUCCCCGUGGCUGUUUCCUUUCCCGGGAGCAUCCCGGCGGGUGCUGACAGAGGGGAAGCCGUGACAGCGGGGCAGAUUCCCACCAGCGCAGCACCCAGCUCUCAACAUUGCCAUUUUUGGGAACGGUUCUCCUUGACUUUGGUCUCGCUUCUUUGAAUCAGCUUCGCCUCAUGACUCACCGCCUUCUCGCCCUGGCCCACCGCUCCCACGCGCGGGGACACCCUUCCCCGGCGGGUCAGGACCAGGAGAUACAUCAGGAUUCGCUCACGUUCAUCCUCAGGGAUGCACGUGUUGCCCAGGUGGGUCCGGAGACCACCAGCCCCAAGGAGCGAGAGCACCCGCCGGACACCCAGCGAUCCCAAGCCACCCGCCUGCACCCAGGCUUUCUGGCCCGGCCACAGCAGCUUUGCAGCGCCUGGAGGAUGUCCACCCACGCUGCAAAUGAUUUCCAUACGCAGAGUCCAUCCCACACGCUCCAGCUGUGACCCAGCACAGAUCUUUCUGCUCGGGGCAUCGAACGUGUUCUAGGAGAGAGCUUGUCCUUACGGAGAGCUGGGAAGAUGGGGUGCUAGAUCGCAGGUGGGUGCGUAAUAUGGAAAACCAAGGUUUUUACAGAAAAAGGAGGGGGUCUUGGCCCUGGGCCACUCGGCCGGAGCAGAAGUGUGGGAAAACGGCUUGGUGCAUGGAGAAGAGAAAUAAUUAAGGCACUACUCUAAAAGGCAAGAUAGCAAGUGCUGAGCCCUCCCAGCUGGAAAGGUAGUGGAGCUCGGAUCUCCCAGCACCCCGGGGACCCGGACACUCACAGGAUGGAAACACCGCUCCCCCAUGGAAAAGCUUCCCGAGGCAUCUGAGCCCCAGCUCAAAGGAUCGCUCCAGGUUUUAGAAUGUACUUUAAGAGCCUCUCCGAGCAAAUAUGCUUUUAGCCACAUUUUCCUGGCUCCGGCUCUCCAGCCAGCCUUUGUCCCGCCGAGUCUCUCCGAGCUGGGUGAAGAGGUUAUUCUCCCCCGACACGUGUCCCUUCCGUCCGCCGCGAUCAAACCGGUGACCAAAAAAAAAAAGCACCCAGCAGCGCCGAGGUCACCCCGGCCCCUGGCGGUGGACAGGCCGGCUCGAACUGGAGGCGAGAGGAUUUGUUCUUUAAAUUGAAGACUGCUGCAGACCCAGGGGAGUUGCAUGCUAAAAGGGAUUUUAGGGCUGAGCGAUCCGGCUAAAUGGGGAUAGAGUGCUCGGGCUAGUCUAAAAUUCAAUGGGAAAUAGCGAAACACAUGGGCAGCACAUUUGGGAGCCGCCUUCUCCUGUUCCUCCGGCCAGGCUGUUGCAUCCGCACGGGAGCUCUGCGGACCCACCGAGUUUCAGGGGGACAUCAGCCCUCGUGUGUGUCGGCAUGACGAGCCUCCCAUAGCUAAAGGAGCAAGCCAGGCCGCUUUAAUUAUUUUUUUUUUUUUUUUAGCUCUCCUGCUAUUUUCUUUUUUUUCUUUUUUUUCCACUUCAGGAUCCAUCACAUCCCCUUGAAGCGAGCUUCAAAAUCUCCCGGGAUUUUUCCCCUCGGAGGUAGGGGCUGCUCUGCAGCCCUGCCGAGGGCUGUCUCGCUUUGCUUGGGCUCCUUGGGUGCUUUCGUCCCGACGUGGGUCCCUUCCCCGCAGCAGCCGGGGUGCCCCCACGGGCGAGCCCAGGCGGGGAGCUCGCCUCCGGCCUGGGGAAUCCACGGAGAGGAGGAACGGGAGGUUUAGCCGGGAACGGAGGGGUUUCUCCCACGACGCUCGGCGGGACGCCGCGCCGAAGGACCUGCAGCUGCGGGAUAACUCGUCUGGGGAUGCGGCUCCCGGGGUGACGCUCCUCACCCCUUUGCAGCGGCUGGGGUCAGUGGAAUAAACCCCUUUUUGCCGACGCCGGGCCGGGCUCAGCCCUCCAGCCCAGGGAGCGGAGCCGCUGGGCCGUUCCCCAUUUAAAG